UACGUAGGGGGCGAGCGUUAUCCGGAAUUAUUGGGCGUAAAGAGUGCGUAGGCGGUUUCUUAAGCGUGGGGUGAAGGCCAUUGGCUUAACCAAUGUAAGCCCCGCGAACUGGGGAGCUUGAGUGCAGGAGAGGAAAGCGGAAUUCCUAGUGUAGCGGUGGAAUGCGUAGAUAUUAGGAGGAACACCAGUGGCGAAGGCGGCUUUCUGGACUGUAACUGACGCUGAGGCACGAAAGCGUGGGGAGCAAACAGGAUUAGAUACCCUGUUAGUCCACGCCAUAAACGAUGAGCACUAGGUGUCGGGGACGCAAGUCUUCGGUGCCGCAGUUAACGCAUUAAGUGCUCCGCCUGGGGAGUACGUACGCAAGUAUGAA
rnacentral:rRNA from 1 species